AGAGUUUGAUCCUGGCUCAGAUUGAACGCUGGCGGCAGGCCUAACACAUGCAAGUCGAACGGUAGCACAGAGGAGCUUGCUCCUUGGGUGACGAGUGGCGGACGGGUGAGUAAUGCCUGGGAAAUUGCCCAGUCGAGGGGGAUAACAGUUGGAAACGGUAGCUAAUACCGCAUAAUCUCUAAGGAGCAAAGCAGGGGAACUUCGGUCCUUGCGCUAUCGGAUGAACCCAUAUGGGAUUAGCUAGUUGGUGAGGUAAUGGCUCACCAAGGCGACGAUCCCUAGCUGGUCUGAGAGGAUGAUCAGCCACACUGGAACUGAGACACGGUCCAGACUCCUACGGGAGGCAGCAGUGGGGAAUAUUGCACAAUGGGGGAAACCCUGAUGCAGCCAUGCCGCGUGUGUGAAGAAGGCCUUCGGGUUGUAAAGCACUUUCAGCGAGGAGGAAAGGUUGGUGCCUAAUACGUAUCAACUGUGACGUUACUCGCAGAAGAAGCACCGGCUAACUCCGUGCCAGCCGCCGCGGUAAUAC
rnacentral:rRNA from 1 species